rfam:Enterococcus gilvus ATCC BAA-350 genomic scaffold acEQl-supercont1.3, whole genome shotgun sequence.
AUAAUGAUACUUCCGUGAGGCUCGGCAUAAAAAGCGGAGAGGUGAGAUUCCUAUGU